GACGAACGCUGGCGGCGUGCUUAACACAUGCAAGUCGAACGGAAAGGCCCUGCUUUUGUGGGGUGCUCGAGUGGCGAACGGGUGAGUAACACGUGAGUAACCUGCCCUUGACUUUGGGAUAACUUCAGGAAACUGGGGCUAAACCCGAUAGGAGCUUCUGCCUCAUGGUGGGGGUUGGAAAGUUUCGGCGGUUGGGGAUGGACUCGCGGCUUAUCAGCUUGUUGGUGGGGUAGUGGCUUACCAAGGCUUUGACGGGUAGCCGGCCUGAGAGGGUGACCGGCCACAUUGGGACUGAGAUACGGCCCAGACUCCUACGGGAGGCAGCAGUGGGGAAUAUUGCACAAUGGGCGGAAGCCUGAUGCAGCAACGCCGCGUGCGGGAUGACGGCCUUCGGGUUGUAAACCGCUUUCGCCUGUGACGAAGCGUGAGUGACGGUAAUGGGUAAAGAAGCACCGGCUAACUACGUG
rnacentral:rRNA from 1 species